CCUACGGGCGGCAGCAGUGAGGAAUAUUGGUCAAUGGGCGCAAGUCUGAACCAGCCAAGUAGCGUGCAGGAUGACUGCCCUACGGGUUGUAAACUUCUUUUAUAAAGGAAUAAAGUGCGACACGUGUGCCUUUCUGUAUGUACUUUACGAAUAAGGAUCGGCUAACUCCGUGCCAGCAGCCGCGGUAAUACGGAGGAUCCGAGCGUUAUCCGGAUUUAUUGGGUUUAAAGGGAGCGUAGGUGGGUUGUUAAGUCAGUGGUGAAAGUUUGCGGCUCAACCGUGAAAUUGCAAUUGAUACUGGCAGUCUUGAGUAUAGUUGAGGUAGGCGGAAUUCGUGGUGUAGCGGUGAAAUGCUUAGAGAUCACGAAGAACACCGAUUGCGAAGGCAGCUUACUAAGCUGCCACUGACAUUGAUGCUCGAAAGUGUGGGGAUCAAACAGGAUUAGAUACCCGGGUAGUC
rnacentral:rRNA from 1 species